AAGCCUUUGGGGGAUCUUGAAAGCAUCUACAGCCAGAAGGCAUGUGUGAGAUGCAUCAGGAAAUCAGUAUCUUGUAGCUUCCCCACAUGACAGACUCUGGCAGUGGGCCGGCGGAUGGAACUCCAGACCAGCAGCAUGGGCAGUGGACUGAACCCCAGACCGGCAACGGGCUGAGUGGGGCCGGUGGCUGGGAUCCCAGCUGACAGCAGAGUGCCACUAAAAAUCAACUUGCGUGCCGCCUUUGGCACGUGUGCCGCCGGUUGCCAACCCCUGAUCUAAAUAGACAAGACAGAGAAAGAUCCCCUUAUCUGAAAAGGUUUACUGUGUCUUCAUGCAAGUAGUUGUCAUGCUUUAGAAAAAUCACAAGAAGCAAAAAGUCAGAAUUGUCAGUUCAGAAGACACUGGUUGUUCCACUGGGUAAAACUGAGAAAGCAAUGCUGGCAAAUGAUCUUUAGGAGGAGGAAAAAAAGAAAAAAGAAAAAAAGAUGGAAACAGCAGCAGAAUGAAGAUAAAAAGGGUUGCAGGCUUUAUUCUCAUUGAUGGUUGGCAACGGGAAAUCUGUUGGAGAAGAAGAAGAAUAUCUGAUAGGUCAUCUGUUGUGUAAUGAAGAAUAGAAGACAGAAGACAAGCUAGGGGAAGCAAGGUGAUUCCAAACCUCAGAGGAAUGUAAGAUCUUAUGAGAAAAACAUGAAAGCAAUACCUUUAUAAACUGACCAAAUUUAAUUUACUAUCAACGAGCCUUGUAAGACAGCAAGCUGACAAAAUCCAUUUAUAAUGUUAUGGGUGAAACUGAAGACAUGCAUUUUUCUCUUGUGGAAUCAUUUUAUUAUGUAUUUGUUUCUUUUUUGUACGGGUCUUCUGAUUAAAAAUUACCACUAAGAUGUCAAAUAUUUCCUUGUCCUAUGAUAUCCAAGCUUAGUUAUCCAAUAUCUUAUCUUGACUAUCCAUCUUCUUUAGUCAAAAGAAAACGUGUUUUCAAAGGAUAAACAAAACCAGAUUAAUAUGCUAUCAUUUAUUAUGCGCCAUUUCCAGUGAAACAUCUAUAUUGUGCUGUUGCAUAUGUUACUUAAGAAAUAUUGUAGUCGUCAGUGUGUUUGUAGCAAUUUUUUUAAUACUUGGCCUUUAUGAUGAGUGAAUAUAAUAGCAAACAUAUUUGUGAUUACAAAUGGAAAUUCAAGAAGUGGUCUGCAUGCAGCAUUAGUUUGCUUUUAAAUUUCUAACACAUUUAAGGAUGUCAUAAUUGGAUUCUUUAUAUUGAUAAAAGCACUUGGAUUAGCUGUAAUAACAUUGGAUUUGCAUUGCACUGUUGGAAUGCUUUAAAUAUUUAAGAUCCAAUACAAGGUUAUGUGUCCUAUGACUU